rnacentral:pre_miRNA from 1 species
GAUUUCAACCGAAAAAAUCAUCAAUAACAAAGUUGUAUACCUCAUCAAGAUCUAUAACUUCUAUUUUAGUCAUUUCCUCAUCCGACAAAGUGAUUUAUAAGAUUAUUCACAAAAUGUAUAUUUCUUAUAAAACUAUAUAAGAGAUGUAUAAGAGAUGUACAUUUUGUGAAUAAACUUACAAAUCACUUUAUCGGAUGAAGAAAUGAUCAAAAUAGAAGUUAUAGAUCUUGAUGAGUUAUACAACUUUGUUAUUAAUGACUUUUUCAGAUGAAAUC